AUUUAAUUGUCUUCUU
rnacentral:sRNA from 1 species